AAUUUCUUCUUGAACAUCCUUGUCGGUAGACAUGAUCACAACCUACACAAAACACAAACACUUUGAUUAGCUUAGCUGUUUUUGUAAAAAAAAAAGAGAAGGUUGCAAAAAGUCGAUUCCAAGAGAAAGUCGAUCCAGACUUCAGGAAGUCGUAUUAUAGUUCAAGGAGAAACAACUUCGGAAAACUAACUUCAAAAUAUUAGAAUACCAGAAAGUCGAUCCCCGUAAUGAUACAACUUUAGGAAUUCGACUAUAAGAAGUCGGACUUUAGAAAGUCGAAUCACAGGGAAGACAACUUCAAGAGACACAACUUGCAUUACAGUCUCAUGAAGUCGAUCCCAACAGAUCCGAUCCAGGAAAGUCGAUAACAAAAGUCGGACUUCAAGAGGUCGGACUGUAACCUAAGGGAGGUCACUUCGGGAAAGUAACUUCAAAAGUUGAGUCCCAGGAAGUCGAUCCCAGUAAUAUUGGGCCCAACUCUGAAAAGUCGAUGACAAGAAGUCAGACUUCACAAAGUCGGACCACAGUCCAAAGGGGACACAACUUCAAGGAAGACCGACUCUAAGAAAAGUCGAACCUCAAGGAAGUCGGUCCCAGUGCCACUUUAGCAGAAUCCGACCAUGGAAGUCGGACCCCGAAAAGUAGCACCUCCAAGGCUGAAGUCGAAGCCUUACGCGCGCUAAAAGUCGAAGCGGAAGAACUUGAAAGUCGAUGCGAGAAAGUCGAUGCCUCAGAGCGUUAGAAAUUGGUGAGAAGGAAAUGACCCCCCCUUCAUUAUUUAUAGGGGGAAGUCGAAGACGAACCGUCGCGGGUACUGUUCACCCCGUGGGCCGAAAAGUCCACGGACCCGGCAGGCCCAAGACGCCCGAGUCCGAUAAAACCAAAAAUCCGGCUAAAUGGCUUCGACAUUUCAGGACAAUAGCAUCGACAUUUAAUGAUUGGGUAUCGACAUCCCAGCAGGCUUCAGAUCGACAUCCUCAGAGAAGGAUAGGCGUCGACAUUUACUUUGGAAUAGACAUCCUUCAUAAGAGAAUGACAGGAUCGACAUUCCACAAACACUCAGAUCGACAUCAGAGGAGGAUAGACGUCGACAUUAGAGUACCAUUCACAGUUGACAUCAACAUCCUCAGAAAAGGAUGAAAUCGACUUUUAUACGACAUUGACAUCUUCAGGGAAAGAUGAGAUCGACUUUUCGUACGACCGUCGACAUCCUCAGAAAAGGAAAGAGUCAACCAUCGCACAGUAUCGACGUCCUCAGAAAAAGGUGAGAUCGACUUUUACAAGAUAUCGACAUCCUUAGAGAAGGAUGGGAUCGACUUUCUGUGUAAGCUUCGACACCUUCAGAAAAGGAUAGAAUCGACCAACAUGCAACAUCGACUUUAAGGAAUCGACAUUCUAGAAAAAGUCGAUCUUCAUACACAAAAUUCUUAGAAAAAGGACGAAGUAUACCCGCAAAGUACACCGACGUGCUUCAGAGCAAAGGUGUAAAACAAAUACAAAGAAGGGAAAAUAUCUUUAUUUAGAAUUACAAGUAAAAAGAAUGAAAAGAUUACAAGUCCUUAGUUAAAAUUAAUACGGCGACGCAGGCGACGAGGGACCUGAUUGGGGGAAGAACCACUACAUCGAGGACGCCUCCGGCACCGACCACGAGAAGGGGCGACAGGGGAAGCCACAGUCGGCAGGUCACCAACAGACCAUUCUUCAAAUAUCGAUUCCCUAGCUGCAACAGCAACACUCUGCCGCUCAACAAUAAUUUUGCACAGAGCAGGAAGAUCCAAGGCCGAAAACCGAGGAUCCAAAAUAUUAAGAAUUCUAUCCAGCUCCUCAAUCUCCCCCUGAAUAAAAUCAGCGAAGAGACUCACAAGAAAAGCCAUGGAUGAAGGGAAAGGAGGACUUAAAGGAUCUAUUUAUAGACCCGGGUCUGCACAAGAAACAAAAAUAGAGUAAAACUGACCAGGAGGACAACCCUUCCAAGAUCAACACGAAGACUCGACUUUUUUGGCCAAAGCACAAGGAAUCGACUUUUAGUAAAAGAGUCAACACAAGGACCCAAGGGAUCGACUUUUCUACAAAAGUCGAAGGUCAAUAUUCGGAUCGAAUUUUGCACAAAAGUCGAUUAACAUUACGAGGGAUCAACUUUUUCUCCCCAACACAAGGGGGGUGUAAAAAAAAGAACCCUGACGUAUUGGAAUAUGGUGGAAGUUCACCAAGGCAGGGGGUGUAGGAAAAACACUCCUGACAUCUUAAAAGUCACCAAGGCAGGGGGUGUAGGAAAAAUACUCCUGAGACCUUGAAGUUCACCAAGGCGGGGGGGUAUAAGAGAAGAAAAAAAACCCGGAAAUCUGCAUAACAAUAAAAAGGACCCGACAGAGGCAGAAGCCUUGUGGUCACACCACCAAGGAAGAAUAACACCGAUGACGGUACAACAGCAGAAUGAACUGGGGCACUCUAAGAUAUUUGAACUCCUACAAUUACUGGAUGCAGUAACAAAGUCUAAGAUAUUUGAACUCCUACAAUUACUGGAUGCAGUAACAAAGUAGGACGCCAAAUUAACCCUACCUACGGAAGAACGUAGGUGGAGAAAGUCUUAGUGGCAACAGGGUCAGAACGCGUACCCCAUCCGGAAAUACUCACCACAUCUACAAAAAAAAACGUAGAUAGAAGGGUGAGUAAAAAACAAACCCCACCUAAGGAAGAACGUAGGUAGACGGGGAACACGACACACGCUCACCUACAAAAAAACGUAGGCUAAGAGGGAAGUGUUCAGGAGUAGACCUCACCUACGGAAGAACGUAGGUAGACGAGGGACACACCGGCAAAGCAUUGCCCUCUUCUACAAAGAACGUAGACAGAGGGAGAUGUGCUCAAAAGUGAACCUCACCUACGGAAGAACGUAGGUAGUCGAGAAACACACCGGCUAAAAGAACUUAACCAAAUCUACGAAAAAACGUGGAUAGAGGGGUAAGUAUUCAAAAAUAAACUUCACCUAUGGAAGAACAUAGUAGACGAGGAACUACACUCAACCUCAGCCGCGGAAGCAGCGAGCAGAAGGAGAGGGCAAGAGUUCAAAAAAGAACCUCACCUAUGGAAGUACAUAGGUAGACGAGGAACUACACUCAACCUCAGCCACGAAAGCAGCGAGCAGAAGGAAGGGGCAAGGGUUCAAAAGAAAACUUUACCUAUAAAACAAAAUAGGUAGAAGGGACAACACUCAACUCCAACCACAGAAGAGGGGAGAGGUACUCGAACAUUGCUCGGAGACAUCUCAGCAAAGCGUCAAGGCGGGCAAGCAGGGUUCCGCUCGGAAAUCGAGCUAGGCAAGCUGCGCAAGGAGUAUACUUCGGCUAAGACAAACCGGACAAUAGUUAGUAAAAGUAUGUGACAACCUCCGUGGAAGGAUAGAUAUAACCUCGCGGUUGUAGAAAGGGGGGAGAACUGGUGAGAGAGGAUCUCGCAUCCCAGGACAUCACCAAUAAACCACACCCCCGCACGCAAAGAGGGGGGAAUACUGAUAGUACGAAGUCCGACGCAUAUACCAUAGUACUAAAAGACGUAUCCCAAGAUAUCUGAUACGCAGAGGAGGGGGGUACUGGUGAUACAGUAUCCCAAACCCGAUCACAACUUAUCAGCAACUAGAAGUCCGGAUAGCCUAAGAUGAGUUAAGGUACCUAUUCUAGGAUUGGAAAGGUCUCAAGUCAAAUCCUAGGUAGAUCGACUUUCCCAAGGUUCGACUUCCCUAGGAUCGACUUCUGAACAAAGUCGAACCCCAGAAAAGUCGGAUCCUAAGAAAGUCGAUUUGUGGAAAGUCGACCUUGGAUCCCGAUUUGAUCAGUUAGGUAGUUAGGCGAUUACUGCCCAAAUGACCAGAUUACCCCCAUAAGAAUCCCUAUAAAUAGGAGGCACCCUCACUCAUUUGAGGCAAGUCAUUUGGAGUAGAGAAUUCCUAGCGAAGCAGAGCUCUGCUCACUUGAGUUCUGGUUCGAUUUCCUGCGGAGUUUCCCGCUUGGCGUUUGCUGAAGCGUCUUGGAGUACUGAUCGGGUUUCACCCUCAUCAAGAACCAUGAGGAGUCUAUAUAUAUGUGUUUUCGUCUAAUUAUACAUCAAAACCAGGAAAUCCUAGUUUCCAAAUCGUGUGUUCCUCCCCCUCUUCUUGUCUCAUGCAUCUACUUGCACCUGACUAACACACUCCAUAUCAGUGGCUAACUUUGUCAUAAUUAAGACUUCCCACCGUCUGCGGCUGGAGGCGGAGCGGAGAGAGUGCUUAAUUUGCAAACUGGAAGUUGCAUUGCAUGCUAGCUAGUCCGGGAGGGAUCCAACGAUAGUGAAGGAGAAUGGGAGAAGUUCAUUAAAGUCAACUAACCUCGAUCUUGAUCUAAUUUUUAUUUUCGCUAAUCAAUUUAUGUCAUUGUACCUCUUCUUAUCUUGUAAAUUAGUCUGUUUUCAUUAACCCUUAUUACCACCAUAAACAUUCAGACAUGCUGUUUCUUAAAAAAUAAUAAUUAAAUUGAUGAGAGAGACGUAUGGCGUAGUUUGUUUGACUCAUCCAUUCACGGUGCUCCUUUAAUCC
rnacentral:lncRNA from 1 species